rnacentral:rRNA from 1 species
CACUCCUGCGGGAGGCAGCAGUGGGGAAUUUUGGACAAUGGGCGAAAGCCUGAUCCAGCAAUGCCGCGUGCAGGAUGAAGGCCUUCGGGUUGUAAACUGCUUUUGUACGGAACGAAAAAGCUCCUUCUAAUACAGGGGGCCCAUGACGGUACCGUAAGAAUAAGCACCGGCUAACUACGUGCCAGCAGCCGCGGUAAUACGUAGGGUGCGAGCGUUAAUCGGAAUUACUGGGCGUAAAGCGUGCGCAGGCGGUUAUGUAAGACAGAUGUGAAAUCCCCGGGCUCAACCUGGGAACUGCAUUUGUGACUGCAUGGCUAGAGUACGGUAGAGGGGGAUGGAAUUCCGCGUGUAGCAGUGAAAUGCGUAGAUAUGCGGAGGAACACCGAUGGCGAAGGCAAUCCCCUGGACCUGUACUGACGCUCAUGCACGAAAGCGUGGGGAGCAAACAGGAUUAGAUACCCGUGUAGUCCCAUGA